rnacentral:tRNA from 1 species
GGGGAUGUGGCUCAGUGGUAGAGCGCUUGCCUAGCAUGUACAAGGCCCUGGGUUCAAUCUUUAAUCCCCAGCAUCACAA